rnacentral:rRNA from 1 species
CAGCCGCCGCGGGAAUACGGAGGGUGCAAGCGUUAAUCGGAAUUACUGGGCGUAAAGCGCACGCAGGCGGUUUGUUAAGUCAGAUGUGAAAUCCCCGAGCUUAACUUGGGAACUGCAUUUGAAACUGGCAAGCUAGAGUCUUGUAGAGGGGGGUAGAAUUCCAGGUGUAGCGGUGAAAUGCGUAGAGAUCUGGAGGAAUACCGGUGGCGAAGGCGGCCCCCUGGACAAAGACUGACGCUCGGGUGCGAAAGCGUGGUGAGCAAACAGGAUUAGAUACCCGCGUAGUCCCUGUCUCUUAUAC